rnacentral:lncRNA from 1 species
AUUAAAUCAAGCUAGUUCACGCAUUCAUCACCUCGAAUAUUAAUACUUAGCAUUUGUUUGUGAUGAGAACAUUUGAAAUUUAGUCUCUUAGCAAUUUUGAAACACAUAAUACUCUAUUAUUACCUAUAUUCACCACGCUAUACAGUAAAACUUUAAAAAAGAAAAAAAGAACAUUUACCUCCCACCUAACUGGAAUUUUGUACCCUUUAGACCACAUUCCAUGGCUCGGAAUGUGGUGGCUCUCCCAAGAGUUAGAGUUAGAAAGCUCUUUGUACAUUAUUUAACAUUCCUCCAUGUCAGCAAGGCACUUAGCCCAAUCAAGGCAAUUUCUCACAAUUUUCUGGUCAUUAAAAAUAUACUUUAAAACCAUUGACUUCACUCGAGGGCUUUCUUGGUGCUGUUGAAUCAAAGUUGGAAUUCUCACCACACUCCAUUCAUUUUACCGCUGGCUUCAUUAUUCUGGCCAGCACCUACGCUAAAUCUGAGAGCCUGAAUUUUGUGCCCAAUUAAACACGGAAUUAAAAGCUCAGAGAGGCACAUCCAUUAUCAAAAUUGGGGCUUUUCACACCAUACACUCACUCGAAAACAUUUUCUAGUGAACGAAUACACCCUAGCCGUUGUCAUUCCAGCACUGUUGCUGUGCCUCUGCUCGCAGCAAAAGGUUUUCAAGUCUGAACGGAAUCCAAAUGAGCUCAGCUCCUGCGAUUCAUUGAAAAACAGGUUCAGCGGCUGUGAAUUUUGGCCAAUGAAACAUGGCAGGAGUGAUGCAUCUCCCUUACUGGGCUGUCCCACAGAAACCUCCCACGGGAUCCUCCCCACUCUCCCUGACUCCCACCUGCCAGCUGGAAACAGGAUUCAAGAGAGAUCUUCAAGCUCCAAGGGAUGGUGGAACCUCACGCUGCAGAGAGACGGGCCUUAGAAUCACCCCGUGAAAGGCUGCCUCAGAACACUUACAUUGAGUCAUCAUGUGAGCUAGAAAUAAAACUCCCAUUGUGUUAAGUUGCUAAAAUUUGAGGAUUGUUUGUUUCAGCAGAGAGCUUAUUCUAACUGAUAGAGGAGUGGGGAUUUGCUUUCAGAAAGGAUUCUUUACUUUGCAAGAGGAAUCAUGCCAGGAUCUCUUUAAGUUGCGGGCUUGCCUUACACAGGUGAUAUGAAGCCACUUAUUACACAUUGAUCUCAGGGGCACAUCAGUUGUGCCAGCUGCUGGC